GGCUUGUUGAUUAUAAUUUCAGGUCUAGCCUGCCCAAUGAGAAUGUUGAAUGGCCGCAGUAUUUUGACUGUGCAAAGGUAGCAUAAUCAUUAGUUUUUUAAUUGAAAGCUUGAAUGAAAGGUCUGAUGAGAAAAAAACUGUCUCUGUUAAAUUUAAUUAAAAUUUUAUUUUUAAGUUAAAAAGCUUAAAUGUUUAUAGAAGACGAGAAGACCCUAUAGAGUUUUAUAUUAAGUUAAAUUUAUAGAAUUAGGAUGUGAAUUUUUAAAUUGAAUAAAAUAUUUUUUUGGGGCGAUAGAAAAAUUUAAAAAACUUUUUUUUUAUUUAGUCAUUAGUUUAUGAAUUUUUGAUCUUGAAAUUUGAAUAAUAAGAAUAAAUUACCUUAGGGAUAACAGCGUAAUUUUUUUUAGAGCUCUUAUCGAAAAAAAAGUUUGCGACCUCGAUGUUGGAUUAAAAUUAUAUAUUGGUGAAGAAGUCAAAUGAAAAGGUCUGUUCGACCUUUAAAAUUUUACAUGAUCUGAGUUUAAACCGGUGUGAGCCAGGUCG
rnacentral:rRNA from 1 species